GGCCGGGCGAGGUGGCUCACGCCUGUAAUCCUGCCCAGGAUGUACCAGGCAGGCCUUCCGCUUGGGUAGGACCCCGGGGGCUGAGCUAUCUCAAGAGGCCAAUCAACCCCAGUGUAGCAGGUUAGCAAAGACCUUGUUAGUUACUGGCUGACUAGUUGGCCAGAGCUAAGCUGAAAGAGAAAUCUCCAAGUGUUCUGCUACUUUCUCUGCUUGGCAAGAAGAGAAGGAGUGCAGCUUGAAGGAGCGGGGAAUGUCAAGUUGAUGAGAAAACGCAUUUGAAUGUUUGCUGUGGAUUACAGUCAUUUGUAAGUACAUUAACAGAAGAAAUGCAAAGAGUGGAGAUGAGAUUGCUGUUGUAAAAUACAGAUGAAAUCAGAAACUUAUCUAAAAUCUGACCUUGCAACCCUAAAACCAAAAUCAGGGACUUUGAUAAAGAUCUAAGUGGUCUUGUAUUGGAAAAGACCUCAAGAGAAGGAGGAGGCCACUGCAAAGAUUGCUGUGACUUGGGGAAGGACGUGAUCACACACACUGCAUGAAGCAUGGUGACACUCUUAAUGGGAUGCGACACAGAUCAACUGGGGAGAUUUGACUCUCUGAAGAGGAGUUCCUGAAAAGUCCUGAAGCAACAGGUGGACCUGAAGUCAGAGCUGUUUGCAAGAUGGAAAAGAGGGUGAAACAUUUCGGCUCUGGAACAAGCACUGGCAGCGUGAAAAUGCACGAAGUGAGCACCUGCUUAUGCUGUUCGCUGCCGGGAGCAAGUUCCAGCAACACACCCCCUACUAAUGAGGAAACUGCAAAAGAGAACUCAAGACAUUAAACACAGAUCUACAGUGAAGGAUGUGUUUACAUCCUAUAUGUGAGUGGAGUGAGUAUAUUUUUAGGGUAGCAAGUUCUGGCCAAGCAAGCUUAACAUGAAAACAUGAGAAUUACUCUGCUUCAAGAGACCCACCCAAUUCAAUAUUCUGUCUUUGAGAGUGGAACUGAAAAUAUAAUUACUAUGUAGUGCUUAAUGUGUAAAUGACCAAUUUAGUUCCCCUUAUAUGCUGUCCUGUAAUAAAUCUAUGCUCCACUAGGACAGGGUCCCUGUUAAAUCACCAGCUACCUGGGAACUCUGGGCAAGUCAUUCUGGAUAGACACGUAGACAAGGAUGACUUCCCUAGGCACUCAUUUUUAAUGUAUAAAACUUUUCUAAAUAGAUAACAGUCAUAAUGAUGGUGUAUAAUAAAGUUCGUGGAACCAUGUAUAUCCGUACACUAAAUGUCCCAGAAUGCUGUACUUCUAAUGUUUUUAUGUGAGAUUUUAUAGUUUUUUCCUGCCACUUCUCUUGGCUCUGAGGGUACAGCUUACUUAUUACAGACUUUCUUCUAAUUCAGUUUCUAA